UGGGGAAUCUUGCGCAAUGGUCGAAAGACUGACGCAGCGACGCCGCGUGGGCGACGAAGGCCUUCGGGUUGUAAAGCCCUGUGGGGCGGGACGAACACUCGUUGGGUGAACAAUCCAGCGGGCUGACGGUACCGCCUUAGCAAGCACCGGCUAACUCUGUGCCAGCAGCCGCGGUAAGACAGAGGGUGCGAACGUUGCUCGGAAUUACUGGGCGUAAAGCGCGUGUAGGCGGCCGCGCACGUCGGGUGUGAAAGCCCGGGGCUCAACCCCGGAAGUGCACACGGUACGACGCGGCUGGAGUCCGGAAGAGGCAGGCGGAAUUCCCGGUGUAGAGGUGAAAUUCGUAGAUAUCGGGAGGAACACCAGUGGCGAAGGCGGCCUGCUGGACCGGCACUGACGCUGAGACGCGAAAGCGUGGGUAGCAAAC
rnacentral:rRNA from 1 species